CUCUCUCUCUCUCUCUCUCUCUCUCUCUCACACACACACACACACACACACACACACACACACACACACACACACACACACACACACACACACACACACACACAUUUUUACACCUUCAAGAUAUUUUUAUUGAGCUAUUUUUACAGGUGUGUGUGUGUGUGUGUGUGUGUGUGUGUGUGUGUGUGUGUGUGUGUGUGUGUGUGUGUGUGUGUGUGUGUGUGUGUGUGUGUGUGUGUGUGUGUGUGUGUGUGUGUGUGUGUGUGCCUGACAGGUGUGUAUUCUUUCCCUCUACAAUCGUUAAUUCUCCCUUUAAAUUUCCCUCCCUUUCCUUCCCACCCUUUAUUUUUUCCCCUUUUCCUCGUUUUAUUUCCCCUUUUUCUUCCCUAAACAAACAUUAUUUGCCUUGUAUUUCCCGUACAGUUUUUUUUUUUAUUUACUUACGUUCCUCAUUCUCUCUCUCUCUCUCUCUCUCUCUCUCUCUCUCUCUCUCUCUCUCUCUCUCUCUCUCUCUCUCUUUCCCCAAAUCUUGUCUCACCGGAGUUGCUUGGCGGGAGAAGUAGCGCUUUGUGUUCUUGUUUUGUUUUUUGUUGUUUUUCUUCUCGUUAUCAUAAUUCAGUGUCACUUUUUUUUUCUUUUAGUUAUUUUCCUCCUAUUCCUCCUCCUCCUCCUCCUCCUCCUCCUCCUCCUCCUCCUCCUCCUCCUCCUCCUCCUCCACCCCCAAACACACCUGUCGCGGCCACUGAUUAGCACCGGAAGUGACGUCACAGAUCCCUAGCUUGUCCCACGUAACUCUAGAUAAAUGACUAUAUUAGUUUCCGAGGCUCAUUGUGAUAAUCGUGUUGGGAUUUCAUAAGUGAACAUAAUAAUAGUUAAUUUAUAAUAAUAAUAAUAAUAAUAAUGAUAAUAUUAAUAGUAAAUACUAGUCGUGUCUUUUUCAAUUGUUCUCAAUGUGUCGGCUUUUUUUUUCCAUUUCUUAUAAUAUUUCUUUUUACUCUUAAUGAUGUGAUUUUUUAUUAUAUAAUCUAUUUUUUUGUAUUUAUUUCUUUAUUUCUUUUAAUAUAAGGGUAGAUUAGUGUAACCGAAGGGGAUUUCUUGCAGACGCGCGUGAGUGAACAGGGGAGUUGGCACUGGUGGGGCCCCGGCGUGGUGAGGGCUAGUGUAGUAGGGGUGGGAGGGUCCGGGGGUGAAGACAGGGCGGGGCAUUCAGUAGCCUGGAGCGAGUUAAUUAAGUAAGUCGCCCCUGAAGGUUGUGUGCGUGCGGGUGAACAGAAAACGGGGGUGAAGGGCAAACAGAAAACCAGCUCACGUACGUCAACAAACUACUACUACUACUACUACUACUACUACUACCACAUAGAAAACGAAGACAUCCCUUUUGAAAUCGUCCAUUUUCAGAAAACUCAACUUAUAAUGAUAAAAAGAUAAAUAAAUAAGAUAAAUAUGAAAAAAUUAGUCAUUGUAAUAAUAAUAAUGAUGAUAAUGUCUGUCUGUUUCCUCCUUAGAAAAAAAUAUAAAACAAAAAAUCCGCCCUCAUAUUCCACUAACCCUUUUCUUUCCCCAGUUUUUUUUUUCCCCUCCCUCCUUCCCUCCCUUUUUCCCCUUUCCCCUUCCCCUCACCCAUUCCUCAAAAAAAAAAAAAAAACACACACGUCUCUUUUUUUACAUUAACAUAAAUAUGAUAGAAGAAUGAUUUUUUUUUGCCUCUUAUUUACGUUUUUUUUUUUUUCGGGUAGAUAUUUUUUGGGCCCGUUUUGAGGGAAAUUUUUGUACACGAGAGAAAACGGAAUGUUGGUAGGGGGAACUCAAGUCUCUCCCGGGAAGGACAUUUUUUACGGUGCCUUAAUAAACUGGAAUGUUUUGCUGCGACGUGAACCUUUCGUUGGGGGGAAGCAGGAAAGUAGGAAUAAAAAAGGAGGAGAAAGAAAUAAAAAGAUAAGAGAGAGAGAGAGAGAGAGAGAGAGAGAGAGAAAGAAAAAAAGAAUAGUGAUAGUUUAAAGAAUGUAGGAGAAAGAAAAAUAAGAUAAAAAGAGAGAAGAAAGAUGGUGUAAAGAGCAAAAGGAGGAAAAUAAAAGAUAGUGAUGAUAAAUGGAAUUGCGUAGGAAGAAAAUUAAUAAAGCAUGUAAGAAAUGGAAAAUAAAUAGAAGAAUAAACAGUUAAAAGAAGAAUAAUGAAAAGAUUUUGAAUAAGAAUGACUGAAAAGCAUGGAGGAAAAAAAAAGAAACACGUGGGAAUAGAAAAAAGGAAGGAAUGAAGAUAGAAAUAAAAAAAAAAUAAUGAAGAAUGAAAGAUACUGAUAAGGGUGAAUGUAUAAAAGAAUAAGGGAGAAAAUAGGUAAGAGAGAGAGAGAGAGAGAAAGAGAGAGAGAGACCUUUAUUAGAAUUAUUGAAAGAGCAUCGUUGGAAAGUAUAACGAAAGAAAAUGG